rnacentral:rRNA from 1 species
AACGAACGCUGGCGGCAUGCCUAACACAUGCAAGUCGAACGAUUGCCUUCGGGUGAUAGUGGCGCACGGGUGCGUAACGCGGGGGGAUCUGCCCUUAGGUUCGGAAUAACAGCUGGAAACGGCUUCUAAUACCGGAUGAUAUCGCGAGAUCAAAGAUUUAGCGCCUGAGGAUGAGCCCGCGUUUGAUUGGGUAGUUGGUGGGGUAAAGGCCUCCCAAGCCGACGAGCCAUAGCUGGUCUGAGCGGAUGAUCAGCCACACUGGGACUGCGACACGGCCCAGACUCCUACGGGAGGCAGCGGUAGGUAAUAUUGGACACUGGGCGCAAGCCUGAUCCAGCAAUGCCGCGUGAGUGAUGAAGGCCCUAGGGUUGUAAAGCUCUUUUACCCGAGAAGAUAAUGACUGUACCGGGAGAAUAAGCCCCGGCUAACUCCGUG